CGUGUGCUUGGCGUACUGGGCCGUGUGCGUCUGUUGUGAGCGGGUACUGGCUGCGAUGGAAGUGCGUUCUAAACGCGGCAUUCGC
rnacentral:tRNA from 1 species